GGACCUGACUGCUAUCGGAUUGAUACUAAGCCAUGCGAGUCUUUGUAGUAAUACAAGGCAGACGGCUCAGUAACGCGUAGUCAAUCUACCCUAUGGACGAGGAUAACCUCGGGAAACUGAGAAUAAUACUCGAUAGAACAUUAUGCCUGGAAUGGUUUAUGUUCCAAAUGAUUUAUCGCCGUAGGAUGGGACUGCGGCCUAUCAGUUUGUUGGUGAGGUAAUGGCCCACCAAGACUAUUACAGGUACGGGCUCUGAGAGGAGUGGCCCGGAGAUGGGUACUGAGACACGGACCCAGGCCCUAUGGGGCGCAGCAGGCGAGAAAACUUUGCAAUGUGCGAAAGCACGACAAGGUUAAUCCGAGUGGUUUCUGCUAAAGGAACCUUUUGUCAGUCCUAGAAACACUGAUGAAUAAGGGGUGGGCUAGUUCUGGUGU
rnacentral:rRNA from 1 species